rnacentral:rRNA from 1 species
UACGUAGGGUGCGAGCGUUAAUCGGAAUUACUGGGCGUAAAGCGUGCGCAGGCGGUUUUGUAAGUCUGUCGUGAAAUCCCCGGGCUCAACCUGGGAAUUGCGAUGGAGACUGCAAGGCUAGAAUCUGGCAGAGGGGGGGUAGAAUUCCACGUGUAGCAGUGAAAUGCGUAGAGAUGUGGAGGAACACCGAUGGCGAAGGCAAUCCCCUGGACCUGUACUGACGCUCAUGCACGAAAAGCGUGGGGGAGCAAACAGG